GCUAAGGCCCGCCUCUUAGCUGUUCACGCUAGAUAGGGAGAUGGGAAGUGAUACCAGUGGUAACUGAAUCAUCGUAGCAGUAUAUUGAUACUUACUUUAUGUUACGGGUGUAAACUACUAACAGUGUGGAAUACCACAAGAGAGUCUAAUUCGAAGGGCAUGCUCAAGCUAACGUGCCAUUCCAUUGCACUGUCAGGUUUUAUUGUUGGAUUCAGAUGUUGAGUGAUCGCGGUUAUUGGUGGAGUCCGGACCGGCGGUGGAGAUUCUGGAGAUCCUUGGAGAAACUGUUCCAGUACUGGAUGGCGAGCCAACCCCACCUGAUAUAGAGCCUGGUUGUAGCUAGGAGGUUGCAACCUAGAGACACUGAGCCAGAGAGCCUUGAUCUAUUUCCCCUUGGCCCAAGGUGUCAGGUAGAACUGUGUGCAAAUGACACUUGCUUUCCCUGGAGGAAGCCACCCACCUUGCUUUAAUCCAAUAUUGGUGCAAUCAAUGGACUGUGAACUUUAUUUUAACAGACCCUGGUCUAGUCUAAUUUGAGUGCACUCACAACUGCACUGAGCUUUUAUUAUUUUGACACUUUUCUUCUUUUGUAUAUUUGGGUUUCCACUUCUCCAUUUUAUUACUUUGCCAUUGCACUUGUUCUUAUUGUUCAUUGCAGUUAAUAUAUGCAGUUAAACUUA